rfam:Homo sapiens chromosome 2, GRCh38 reference primary assembly.
AUCCUUCUGUAGUUCACAAGCAUGAUGAUUGGGUUUUCACACUUACAUGAGAUGUGCCUCCCCUCAGCCUUGUUACUACAUUAUCCACCUGAUA